rnacentral:lncRNA from 1 species
AAAAAGAUCCACUUUUUCAACAAAAAAAAAACUAAUUGUAUGAAAUGAAGUGGUGACAUACUUUCGUAUUGAAUUGUACACAUAUAUGUAGGUUAGCGAUAUUAUUGUUGUCUGCAAUGUUAUUAUUUAUUUUUUUAAGAUUUCUUGAUAUAUUAUUCCAUGCACGUAUUUUUGACUUAAUAUAAUACUAUAUUUAAUUAGACUGUGAAUAAUUUAUUUAUUCUUGGGGGAAUUCUAUUUAUUUAUGCUUUUUUUAGUAAGCAUAUGGUAGUAAAAUAUAUUUUAUGGAUAUAUUGGACCUUUGAAACAUAGUAUAUAGGGGUUAGGGACUCAUAAUAUGAAACCACAAUUUUUGAAAAAUGUUUGAGCGGAUUGAGAAUUGUUUUCAUCAGAGUAUCAAAUGGAAAACGUUAGAAAAGAGGGAGUCGAGUAUUGUGAAAAUAUGAUACGAAGUACACUCGAUUAUGAUAUCCUUGUCGAAGCUUAG